rnacentral:rRNA from 1 species
AUACAUUUGAUGGCGACCGGCAAACGGGUGCGGAACACGUACACAACCUUCCUAUAAGUGGGGAAUAGCCCAGAGAAAUUUGGAUUAAUACCCCGUAACAUAAUGAUGUGGCAUCACAUUAUUAUNNNAGCUACGGCGCUUAUUGAUGGGUGUGCGGCUGAUUAGAUAGUUGGCGGGGUAACGGCCCACCAAGUCUACGAUCAGUAGCUGAUGUGAGAGCAUGAUCAGCCACACGGGCACUGAGACACGGGCCCGACUCCUACGGGAGGCAGCAGUAAGGAAUAUUGGUCAAUGGACGCAAGUCUGAACCAGCCAUGCCGCGUGAAGGAUUAAGGUCCUCUGGAUUGUAAACUUCUUUUAUCUGGGACGAAAAAAGGCGAUUCUUCGUCACUUGACGGUACCAGAUGAAUAAGCACCGGCUAACUCCGUGCCAGCAGCCGCGGUAAUACGGAGGGUGCAAGCGUUAUCCGGAUUCACUGGGUUUAAAGGGUGCGUAGGCGGGCAGGUAAGUCAGUGGUGAAAUCCUGGAGCUUAACUCCAGAACUGCCAUUGAUACUAUCUGUCUUGAAUAUUGUGGAGGUAAGCGGAAUAUGUCAUGUAGCGGUGAAAUGCUUAGAUAUGACAUAGAACACCUAUUGCGAAGGCAGCUUACUACGCAUAUAUUGACGCUGAGGCACGAAAGCGUGGGGAUCAAACAGGAUUAGAUACCCUGGUAGUCCACGCCCUAAACGAUGGAUACUCGACAUACGCGAUACACUGUGUGUGUCUG